rnacentral:rRNA from 1 species
CUUAACUGGUAGACUGCGUUUGAAACUGUAUAUCUUGAGUGCGGCAGAGGAGAGUGGAAUUUCUAGUGUAGUGGUGGAAUACGUAGAUAUUAGAAAGAACACCAGUGGCGAAGGCGACUCUCUGGGCUGACACUGACGCUCAGGUACGAAAGCUGGAGGAGCGAACGGGAUUAGAUACCCCGGUAGUUCCAGCUGUAAACGAUGGACACUAGGUGUUGGGGGUUCGAUUCCCUCAGUGCCGUAGUUAACGCAGUAAGUGUCCCGCCUGGGGAUUACGGUCGCAAGACUGAAACUCAAAGGAAUUGACGGGGGCCCGCACGAGCGGUGGAGCAUGUGGUUUAAUUCGAAGCAACGCGAAGAACCUUACCGAGGUUUGACAUCCUGUGACCACCUAUGAAAGUAGGAUCUCGGACUAUGUCCGACAC